rnacentral:rRNA from 1 species
GAUGAACGCUGGCGGCGUGCCUAAUACAUGCAAGUCGAGCGAACAGAUAAGGAGCUUGCUCCUUUGACGUUAGCGGCGGACGGGUGAGUAACACGUGGGUAACCUACCUAUAAGACUGGAAUAACUCCGGGAAACCGGGGCUAAUGCCGGAUAACAUUUAGAACCGCAUGGUUCUAAAGUGAAAGAUGGUUUUACUAUCACUUAUAGAUGGACCCGCGCCGUAUUAGCUAGUUGGUAAGGUAACGGCUUACCAAGGCAACGAUACGUAGCCGACCUGAGAGGGUGAUCGGCCACACUGGAACGGAGACACGGUCCAGACUCCUACGGGAGGCAGCAGUAGGGAAUCUUCCGCAAUGGGCGAAAGCCUGACGGAGCAACGCCGCGUGAGUGAUGAAGGUCUUCGGAUCGUAAAACUCUGUUAUUAGGGAAGAACAAAUGUGUAAGUAACUGUGCACGUCUUGACGGUACCUAAUCAGAAAGCCACGGCUAACUACGUG